CAUGCACCGGGAGCCCGACGUGGGAUCCGAUCCCGGGUCUCCAGGAUCGCGCCCUGGGCCAAAGGCAGGCGCCAAACUGCUGCGCCACCCAGGGAUCCCUAUCUCAUCUUUCAAAGGAAUUUUUCUUGACCUUCCCAAGCAGGAGCAGUGUAUGAAAGUUCCAGCUGAUCCAUAUUCUUACCAACACUUGCAAACCAAUGUGAGUGCUCACCUCCUUGACAAGCAUUGUGGCUGAAGUAACAUAGAUGAAUGAGACUCAGUUCCUGCUGUAAUGGAGUCAUAAUCUAGCAGAAGAUAUUGACUACAGAAUUCGAGCAGAAUGAAUUAUAGUGUGAUUGUUUGACUUGAGUCUGUGGGAGCACAUUGCCAGUGGGGAGUCUGAGCUGAAAUGCCUGCCACACGAGGAUAUGACUACAUUUUAAUGAAAUCAGCAGAAAGUACUCCACAGAAGCCAACAUCUUUUGAAAAAAAUAAAACAAGUAUCAUGCCAACAGAAAAAUAAAUAGUCCAAGAAGAAAAUAGGCAAUAAUGAAUAUGAUCAAUAAUUCUUAAGAACUCUUCCUUAUAAUUUUAUUAAUUUGUUACAUCUCUAAUCUUCUUUUAUCCCAAUAGAACCCUGUGAGGAUCUAUAAUAUUCCUUUAACAGUUCAACAUCAGUGGAAACCAAGGUCCACUGAGGUCAAGUGAUUGGCCAGUUCAUACAGGAAGUAGCAAUUCCCGUGGUGGGGAAGAAAGAAGGCUGUUGGCAUUAAGAAGCAGAAGAAACCUCUGGUGGGAAAAAAGGCUGCAGCUACCAAGAAACCAGCUGCUGAGAAGCCUGCAGAAAAAAAAAAAAAAAAAAAAA